rnacentral:rRNA from 1 species
UACGGAGGAUCCGAGCGUUAUCCGGAUUUAUUGGGUUUAAAGGGAGCGUAGGCGGGUUGUUAAGUCAGUUGUGAAAGUUUGCGGCUCAACCGUAAAAUUGCAGUUGAUACUGGCCUCCUUGAGUACAGUAGAGGUAGGCGGAAUUCGUGGUGUAGCGGUGAAAUGCUUAGAUAUCACGAAGAACUCCGAUUGCGAAGGCAGCCUGCUGGACUGUAACUGACGCUGAUGCUCGAAAGUGUGGGUAUCAAACAGG